GGACCCGUUGCACAGCUUGGAUAGUGCGCGAGCUUGCGGAGCUUGAGGUCGGGGGUUCGAGUCCCCUCGGGUCCG
rnacentral:tRNA from 2 species